rnacentral:tmRNA from 1 species
GGGGGUGUACCGGUUUCGACAGACAGGAGUAAUCUUGUGCUGCAGGUGAGGCUGUCGCCUGGUCUCUGAUACAGACGAAAACAAUAACUGCAAAACGUAGAGAAGACGACGAGUCUGAAAACGAACAGUUAGCUCUUGCUGCCUAACUUAAGGCACUGAGAGCCGGAAUUUAUGCUGCGCUGUUCCUAGCGGUGUAAAAUUCUGUCACAAAUAGGGACUUGCCUUGCAGAAUGUGCGGGUUCUGCCCGGGACGCUGAGCAAUCGGCCAUCCGUAAUAAGGAGACGACGCCUUUGAAGCCGCUACCGUCUCCCGACAAAUAUCUCGCUUCAAUAAACCUGUAGAGGCACCUGCUUAGCCUGCUUGGACGGGAGUUCAACUCUCCCCAUCUCCAUAA